rnacentral:rRNA from 1 species
UACGGAGGGUGCAAGCGUUAUCCGGAUUCACUGGGUUUAAAGGGUGCGUAGGCGGGCAGGUAAGUCAGUGGUGAAAUCUUCGAGCUUAACUCGGAAACUGCCGUUGAUACUAUCUGUCUUGAAUACCCGGGAGGUGAGCGGAAUAUGUCAUGUAGCGGUGAAAUGCUUAGAUAUGACAUAGAACACCAAUUGCGAAGGUAGCUCACUACAGGGUCAUUGACGCUGAGGCACGAAAGCGUGGGGAUCAAACAGG